AACCUUAUGGACCUGCGGGCGUAUACCUGCGGAGGGAUCAUUAAAAAGAGUGUGUACCCCUCUGUAAAAUGAGUGGGUUACCUCCCGUCCUUUGUUGACCUCUUAGGAGGUUAUUUUGAACUUUCUGCUUCGGUGGGGUUAAACCUACCGGAACACCCUCAAAUUCUUAUCAUUUAAAAAUUGUUCAGUCUGAUUUUUGUUAAUAAAAACAAAAAACUUUCAGCAAUGGAUCUCAGAUCG
rnacentral:misc_RNA from 1 species